rnacentral:rRNA from 1 species
UAGCGGCGAGCGAACGGGGAUGAGCCCAGAGCCUGAAUCAGCAUGUGUGUUAGUGGAAGCGUCUGGAAAGGCGCGCGAUACAGGGUGACAGCCCCGUACACAAAAGCGCAUAUGCUGUGAGCUCGAUGAGUAGGGCGGGACACGUGGUAUCCUGUCUGAAUAUGGGGGGACCAUCCUCCAAGGCUAAAUACUCCUGACUGACCGAUAGUGAACCAGUACCGUGAGGGAAAGGCGAAAAGAACCCCGGCGAGGGGAGUGAAAAAGAACCUGAAACCGUGUACGUACAAGCAGUGGGAGCCCCACCACUAAGCCAGUGGUGAACUCCACAUACGCAUCCUUUGCUGAGGAUACGGUUAACGGAGCGAAAGCGACGUUCAACCUCAAAAGAAGCAGAGGGGGCUUAGUGGUGGGGUGACUGCGUACCUUUUGUA